CGGACCUCGAGGUUAAGAGUUCAGUUUUAAUUCAUUUGAAACAAAGCUGUGUUAUGUCUUCAGCCUCACAUGAAACAGAGGCACACGUCCAGAAUGAGAAGUGAAGGUGUCCAGUGAGACGUGGGUCAUGGAGAGAGUUCUUGUGUCGUCAGACUUCUGAGGAGGGGCGGUCAUAUGUACACACUAUCUGGAAACUAGAGCAAAAAAGAAUGAUUGAACUACACCUACAAUUCUCAUUUGAGCUAACGUUACAGUAGCAACCUGACGUCAGCUAGCUUCCAUCAACCGUAGCAACCAAGACGCUAGCAAUAUGUCAGCUAGCAACCCGCAGGCACAAAAACGCAGCUACAGCUUCUUCUCCAAACUGAAAAUGCCACAAUUGCACAGGUUGUAGCAAAGAGUUUACAAUUUUAUUUCAUGAGUAUUUAGUGCAACGAGGCAUUUGAUACCUAAGCUAUCAGCAGGGGGAAAAAGCCAGCUGUCAGGCUAACUAACGGGCUAGCUCUGGCUCCAUUGAACUGUAACGGGGAUGGAGUCUGUACACAAACGCGACCGCACCGAACGGAUAAAGCUGCCAUUUUUCUACAAGCUUCCCUUCCCCCGUCCAGCGGCCGCUGUCA
ensembl:lncRNA